GUGGGGAAUCUUCCGCAAUGGACGAAAGUCUGACGGAGCAACGCAGCGUGAGUGAUGAAGGUCUUCGGAUUGUAAAGCUCUGUUAAUCGGGACGAAAGAGCCUAGUGUGAAUAAUGCUAGGAAGUGACGGUACCGGAAUAGAAAGCCACGGCUAACUACGUGCCAGCAGCCGCGGUAAUACGUAGGUGGCAAGCGUUGUCCGGAAUUAUUGGGCGUAAAGCGCGCGCAGGCGGAUCUGCCAGUCUGUCUUAAAAGUUCGGGGCUUAACAGCGUGAUGGGAUGGGAACUACAGAUCUAGAGGAUCGGAGAGGAAAGUGGAAUGCCUAGUGUAGCGGUGAAAUGCGUAGAUAUUAGGAAGAACACCAGUGGCGAAGGCGACUUUCUGGACGAAAACUGACGCUGAGGCGCGAAAGCUAGGGGAGCGAACGGGAUUAGAAACCCGGGUAGUCC
rnacentral:rRNA from 1 species